UAUAGGCCCGGUUCACGUAUAUUUUAUUAAUUUAAAAUUUGUCUACAGUUCAGGUAUUGGAUCAAUCAGUCUUUUUGUUUGUGACAUUACCGAUGUUACAGCGCCGAUACGGGUCUGAGUAAAUACUUCACAGUUAUCAUUUCGUUUCUUUUCGUUUGAUUCCUUGCGUUUUCAGUCAAACGAACAUCAACAAUAUAAAAUAGAAACUUCAAACCCCGUAUUUAAAAUUCUAAAAACAAACCACGAAAUUGUCGAAGUAAAUUUAUAAUUAGAAGCAAAAAAAUAUAAAAGUUAUACACGAACAGUACACGCAUGAGAGGAAUGCAGAGAAUGGCAUAGUAGACGUUACAGAUGAGUGGCACGUAUAGAUACAGCACUACAGGGAAAUAUCAAAUCAUUAUUCGAACAUCUACGCGCGGAAUAUAAAAGUUGUUGGUGAGGCGAAAUUGAGGAUAUUUAUCAAUAUUUUGUGUGAAUUUGUGCCAUUCAGCAAUAACUUUUUGUGGCACCCCAGACGCCGCAUUCUUAAGUGGUGAGCGCAUAAAAGCACGCUAAAAUGGGAGAAGAAGAGACGAGGAGGCGGAUGUGCCCCGAAAAGAAAGAUCCCACGGACGACCAAAGCCUGGGGAAGGCGGCACUCUUGGCAACUAUCGGCAUGGCAGUCGGUCUGGUGCUGUGCGCCACCACAGCGGGCACGGCUGCCUCGGCGGCGGUGGCGGCGGAGUAGGAAGGAAUUACAAGUAAAACGCACGUAGCAUAA